CCUACUGCAGGCUGGCCACAGUCCUGUGUUCCCCUGAUGACCAAGAUCAGGGGCACUGCUCAUCCCACCUUUCUCUAGAACAAAAGGAGGGUGGGUAAGAUAACCCAUAAUGAUAUAACUGGCCAAGGAGCACUCACUGGGGCUAGGCAGAUGCCAAAUGGGAUCUGCAACUGAGACCAUAUGGACAGACUGGUACCCUACUUCCCCACUCAGGUGGCACCUCCUGAACAAGAAAUACUGCAGGAUCUUCUAGAAGAGGCACUGCCCCAAGAAGGUGAUGAAGCCCACACGACAUUUUCAUCAAAACAGCCACACACAUCUCAAUGGGGUCACCCAUGCUAGGCCAAUCCUGGGUGAGAUUUCUAUCCAUCAGAGAAAAGUAGGACACCUCUUGGCCAAAGAAGUGGCUAUAAAGGAGCUUUGAGGACACUUCCAAACUGUAUCCUUCUGAAGACCAGUCUAUAGAUGUAGAACGUUCAAUCCUCAGUGUGAAAGCUUUCAUUGAAAGAAGUUUUAACAUGUGACUGGAAACUUCCAUCUUCUCUUGUGUUCACAGUACAUCAUCUCCCAGUUUUCCUGGGAAAGACCAGCUCAGGUACAGGUGUGAAAGGACUGGCAGAGAACAAAGGCCUCAAUCCUAGAGACAAUCAAGAAGGACAGUAGCCGAGUAGGGCUUGACUCCAUCUACAGGCAGCACUGGAAAUCCACCAGAAAACAUCCUUGAGAUCCAGAGACAGCUCUCAGCAGAGGGAAAGGGAGGCUGAUGGCUCUACACUCUGGGACCUCAGGCUCAGCCUCACACAAGCAGCCUUCCUGGGGAAAGUGUAGAGGAACCUGGAAAUUUCCCCCAGGGCUACUGGGGGCUGAUGAGCAGACACUGGGUGACUUGGGCUUGCAGAUGUAGCAAGUGGACCCAGAACCUGAGGAAGGCAAAGAGGCAAGUGAACUCUCUCUCACCCAUGUUCAAGGUCCAACCUCAGAAAUCCCAGUACCUCCCAGAGCUCUAUCACACCAGGAAGGCCAGCAGCAGUCUAUUCCAUGAACACUGCCUGAGAGAAGGUUGGACAGGACACACCUGAGGGUCAAGUGGAAAACAAGGUCAUGAGAGUCUAUUGCCUGCCAUAUAUUCACGUGGGAUUCCAACUUUGGAACCAGCUGCCAUUGCCAAGACCCUAAAGCCAGUGGGGUGGGUCACAUUCAUGAACUGCAGGCCUGGUGGAUGCAGAGGCUGCUCUGGCUGAGGGCAGUCUGACCUUGACUGCUACAUGGCUCAGGAACCUAAACUUUCAACAUGACCAGGGCCCCUGGGAGGCUCAAGUGGCCCAGUAGAGAGGUGUGGUGAGGACCUCCAGGACCCAGCUAGGCACCCAGGGCCUGAGUCUCCCCUUGUCACCUUCAAGCCCGUCUCUUCAACUUUACCCAAGAGAAAGUCUCAGCUCACCUAGGGAGCAGGACCCAAAUUCCCCUCCCUCUGAACCAGAUCUGAAGGAUUUGACAUUCUCUGGAACAUUGAUCCAGACUCCACUGGGGAGACAAGGAGGAAAUCUCCACCCAGGCUGCAUGCUGAAAUCACCCAGACACUUCAAAAACGUCAGUUCCUGGACCUCACCCUCAGGUACUGAAGUCUCCAACACUGGGACUGACCUUUGAAAAGAGGAAUCCACUGUCACCUCAGGACUAGGAAGGAGUCUGCAGAUUCCACCCCAGACAGUGAGCCAUUGCUUAGGACUGAACUUUAAGAUAAUUUGAACAUCAAAGCCUACUGCACCUGACACAAGGGAUACCAUGGCCACUUCUAGUCUCCAUAUCCAAUGGCAUGAAAAGCUGUGUGAAUGAAUAAAAGGACAUCUAUUUCUGUCUUGUGCUUGGGACUUAGAACACAGACCUCAGAGCAUGGAGAAAACUCAGCUUCCUGGGCCUUGGGACCCAUCAUUCUUCUCCCUCUCCUCCAUUGCCCUACCUGCAUGGAGACUCCUUCCCCAUCAUGGUGGCUUCAAGUCCCAGAGGAGGAAGUAAGAAUCCUGAUGUUAGCCUUUCCUGAGGGAUCAGAUGGCUAUUCCUUCAGGUUCCUGGGCGUCACUCCCUCCAUUUAAUGUACAGCUCCCGUCUCUCACUUCAGAACUACAUAGUGUAGUUUAUAAGUUUUAAUAUAACAGGUUUAUUUAUACCUUAUCUUUUAGACCUUUUUCUCCACAUUCCCUUGAAAAAGUUCACUGGAUGAUUCCAUCUCUUGAGUAGACUCAAAGUAUUAAUUAUGUCAGGUAAACAUCCAUCUAUAUACAUCCACCUUAUUUCACCUUCCUAACAAUGCCUAAAGUAAGACCAAACACUAGAUUGGGGUAUUCGAAAAAAAUAUCUUUCCCAUGGAUAAUAUAGGCUUGGUGAGAACUCAGUUGUCUUAUGGGUCAUAGAAGGUACCCAUCAUCUCAUCGCUGGGGCAGAAAUGAACAUUUGAGCCCAGAGCUGGGGUUAGUUGACAACUUCUGACCUGCAUGUUAAAUCCCAGGCUGAGGGUCACAUUAGGAUCUUCUGCCCUGGGAAGUUUACUACACAUCAGUUAAUGACAGCCAUGGGUACAGGAACAUCUGACCAGAAUUGGAAAAACCACCACCCUAAUCAGAGACCUCCCUCCACCCAGGGACAAGCUCCUAUGUACAGUUACCCAUAUAAAGAGGGUUAAUUUAACACCAAGGACAAGACACACAGGGUUGACAGUGAAGAUGCUACUGCUGGUGCCCAUGAGAAGAAUCUUUAAUGUCAGAACUAUUUCAGUUCUAGAGUGAAGAACCAUCAGCUAAUUUAAGAGUUCUACACAGACUGGGGUUUCUGUACUUCCCACUUGCACGGAACCCCUCAGCAAGGAAAAAAUUCUGAGAUCAUGGGUGUGUAUUUGUGAAAAUUCCCCAACCUUUGACCAUGUGACUCCAGAAACCCCAGCUUCUCUCUAGACCACAGCACAACUUCUCCCAGGAUUCCACACACAACUCAGCUCAGGUGCAGGUGUGGGAUGAUGGCAUAGGAGAACAAAGGCUUCCAAACCUGGAUGAACCAACUGGGACAGUGGCCUUGUUGGCCCUGACUCCAUCCAUAGGCAGCUCUUGGAAUCCACCAGGACACAGCCCUCAGCUCAGCACAGUCCCAGCUGAGAGAGAGACACUGAAAGUCACAGCUACUUCCAAGGACCUCUGAACUCAACCCCACACAAGCAGCCUCGUGGAAAGUGAGGAGCAGCAUGGACACCCCCCCACACACACACACACCAUGACUGGCAGUUGAGGAGCUGACACUGGGAGACUUGGGCAAGUGGACCCAGAACCUCAAGAACCCUGGAGGCAGGUGGAAUCUCUGGUCCAUCCUUCCCAUUUGGCCAUCAGAAAUUCCACUACAUCCCAGAAGGCCAUCAGUUGACAAAUGAUCUACAAAACCUUCAUUAUUGGUAGUUCAACACCUCACUGAAAGGUUGAAAGGAAACAGUCAUGUGAGUCUGCCAUCUGUCACCUUUUCAGGCUAGGGAUUCCAACAUGGAACCAGCUGCCUUUGCCAGUUCCCAAAGCCAGGAGGAUGGGUCACAUUCAUUGACUACAGUCCCUGGGUUACAGGGGUUGCUUUGGCUGAGGGCAGUCUGACCUGGACUCCUUAUAGAAUAUGAACUUUAAAUGUGAGCAGGAUGCCUGAGAGGCUCAAGCGGCCCAGGAAGUGAUGUGUGAUAAGGACCUCCAGAACCUGGCCAGGCACUCAGGGCCUGAGUCUUCCCCUGUCACCUUCAAGCCCAUCUCAACUUCACCCAAAAAAAGAUCCAUCUCACCACAGGAUCUAGAUAGAUCCUUCAUAAACUCUGAACCAGAUCUGGAGAUUUUAAGAUCCUCUGAACAUUGAUUCCCAACUCAAUUUAGCACAGCCCCCUAUACAAAUGAAUUCCUUCCCCAAGGUCAAGGUCAUAAAUAAACCUUGAAAUGGGAACAGACAACUUUGAUCUUUCUCCGUGUAGUCAGGAUUGGAGCAGAGAGACAGAGAAACCAAGA